GAUGAACGCUGGCGGCGUGCCUAAUACAUGCAAGUCGAGCGAACAGAUAAGGAGCUUGCUCCUUUGACGUUAGCGGCGGACGGGUGAGUAACACGUGGGUAACCUACCUAUAAGACUGGGAUAACUUCGGGAAACCGGAGCUAAUACCGGAUAACAUUUGGAACCGCAUGGUUCUAAAGUGAAAGAUGGUUUUGCUAUCACUUAUAGAUGGACCCGCGCCGUAUUAGCUAGUUGGUAAGGUAACGGCUUACCAAGGCGACGAUACGUAGCCGACCUGAGAGGGUGACUGGCCACACUGGAACUGAAACACGGUCCAGACUCCUGAGGUAGGCCGCAGUAGGGAAUCUUCCGCAAUGGGCGGAAGCCCGACGGAGCAACGCCGCGUGAGUGAUGAAGGGUUUCGGCUCGUAAAACUCUGUUAUUAGGGAAGAACAAACGUGUAAGUAACUGUGCACGUCUUGACGGUACCUAAUCAGAAAGCCACGGCUAACUACGUG
rnacentral:rRNA from 1 species